UACGUAGGGUGCAAGCGUUGUCCGGAGUCAUUGGGCGUAAAGAGCGUGUAGGCGGCCCGAUUAGUCCGCUGUGAAAGUCCAGGGCUCAACCCUGGAAUGCCGGUGGAUACUGUCGGGCUAGAGUCCGGAAGGGGCGAGUGGAAUUCCUGGUGUAGCGGUGAAAUGCGCAGAUAUCGGGAGGAACACCGGUGGCGAAGGCGGCGAUCUGGGUCGAUACUGACGCUGAGGUGCGAAAGCGUGGGGAGCGAACAGG
rnacentral:rRNA from 1 species